rnacentral:rRNA from 1 species
GGCGAGCGAACGGGAAAGAGCCCAAACCAGAAACUUGUUUCUGGGGUUGUGGAUAGAUCAUAAAAGAAGAGGUAUCUUAAUCGAAGAGGGCUGGAACGCCCUACCAUAGAAGGUAAUAGUCCUGUAGAUAAAAAGAGAAAACUUCGAGAUCUAAUCCAGAGUACCACGAGACACGUGAAACCUUGUGGGAAGCAGGGAGGACCACCUCCCAAGGCUAAAUACUACCUAGUGACCGAUAGUGAAGCAGUACCGUGA